rnacentral:lncRNA from 1 species
AUGCCAUCGGCGGGCACUGUCCCAGCACCGUCCCCACGCUGGGUGGUGCCGGCUGUGCCAGACUCUGCUUACCUCUGCAGGAUCAAGCCCAUAUUAGGGGAAGGAAUGGAGAUGGACAAGCACAGCAGGUGUUGCACAGGACUGGCGGCUGCUGGAGGCAACAAUUCAGCCGUGUGUGGAUGGAGCCAUCACUGGGGAAGCCGUUCCACGGCCCAGCCGAGGGCAGGUAGGGAUCAAGUGGGUGCCGAGCGGGGUGAGCUCGGCUUGGUCCGUGGUGUCUUGGGAAAAGGCUGCGGGAACAGAGCUCCCACGCCGGGGGCAGCUCCAGCCGUGUCCCCCCGCCUGGGGCGCUGUCCCGGCACAGAGAGGGAAGGAAGCCAGGCAGGCAGGAAGGAAGGAAGGCAGGAAGGAAGCCGGGCAGGCAGCGCCCGCCCUCUGUCAGGGCGCCCCGGACCGAGGCCUGCCCGCCGCGGGAAAUGGCGGCGCCGGGAGGCGAGGCGAGGGGAGGGGGGCGCUUAUGGCGGUGGGGCCGCGGCCCCGCUCCU